CAAUAGUGUGGGUAACCAUACUCCCGAGAAAAUCCGCUAAGCUUAACCCAUGCGGCACCCGUACCGCAAACGGACACACGUGGUCGGGUAGAACAUACUGAGGCGUUGAGAGAUUCAUGGUUAAGGAACUAGGCAAAUUGACCCUGUAACUUCGGGAUAAAGGGUCCUCGUGAAGAGCGAGGCGCAGAGAAUAGGUCCAGGCAACUGUUUAACAAAAACACAGGGCUGUGCAAACUCGAAAGAUGACGUAUACAGCCUGACACCUGCCCGGUGCCGGAAGGUUAAGAGGAGAUGUCACACUUAUGUGGAAGCAUUGAAUUGAAGCCCCGGUAAAACGGCGGCCGUAACAAUAACGGUCCUAAGGUAGCGAAAUUCCUUGUCGGGUAAGUUCCGACCUGCACGAAUGGUGUAAUGAUCCGGACGCUGUCUCAACCAUGAGCUCAGUGAAAUUGUAGUAUCGGUGAAGAUGCCGAUUACCCGCGAUGGGACGAAAAGACCCCGUGAACCUUUACUACAGCUUAGCAUUGACCUUGGUCAUCCGAUGUGUAGGAUAGGCCGGAGGCUUCGAAGCGGGAGCGCCAGCUUUCGUGGAGCCAUCCUUGAAAUACGGCCCUUUGGCUGUCUGAGGUCUAACGCGCGAUGCGCGGACACUGCUUGGUGGGUAGUUUGACUGGGGUGGUCGCCUCCAAAAGCGUAACGGAGGCUUCCAAAGGUGCCCUCGGGUCGAUUGGUAACCGACCUCAAAGAGUGCAAUGGCUUAAGGGCGCUUGACUGGGAGGCAGACAUGCCGAGCAGGCAGGAAACUGGGGCAUAGUGAUCCGGCGGAUGUGUAUGGAAACUCCGUCGCUCAAAGGAUAAAAGGUACUCCGGGGAUAACAGGCUGAUCCCCCCCAAGAGCUCAUAUCGACGGGGUGGUUUGGCACCUCGAUGUCGGCUCGUCACAUCCUGGGGCUGGAGAAGGUCCCAAGGGUUGGGCUGUUCGCCCAUUAAAGUGGCACGCGAGCUGGGCUCAGAACGUCGUGAGACAGUUCGGUCUCUAUCUAUCGUGGGCGUGGGAGUUUUGCGUGGUGCCGUCACUAGUACGAGAGGACCGUGAUGGACAGACCUCCGGUUUACCAGUUGUGCCGCCAGGCGCACCGCUGGGUAUCUGAGUCUGGAUUGGAUAAGCGCUGAAAGCAUCUAAGUGCGAAGCCAGCCGCAAGAUGAGAACUCCAUUGAGGGUCGUCAGAGACGAUGACGUUGAUAGGAUGCAGGUGUAAAGACAGCGAUGUCAAAGCCGAGCAUUACUAAUUGCCC
rnacentral:rRNA from 1 species